rnacentral:rRNA from 1 species
AGUCGAGCGGUAGGCCUUUCGGGGUACACGAGCGGCGAACGGGUGAGUAACACGUGGGUGAUCUGCCCUGCACUUCGGGAUAAGCCUGGGAAACUGGGUCUAAUACCGGAUAUGACCUCCUAUCGCAUGGUGGGUGGUGGAAAGAUUUAUCGGUGCAGGAUGGGCCCGCGGCCUAUCAGCUUGUUGGUGGGGUAAUGGCCUACCAAGGCGACGACGGGUAGCCGACCUGAGAGGGUGACCGGCCACACUGGGACUGAGACACGGCCCAGACUCCUACGGGAGGCAGCAGUGGGGAAUAUUGCACAAUGGGCGAAAGCCUGAUGCAGCGACGCCGCGUGAGGGACGACGGCCUUCGGGUUGUAAACCUCUUUCAGCAGGGACGAAGCGCAAGUGACGGUACCUGCAGAAGAAGCACCGGCUAACUACGUGCCAGCAGCCGCGGUAAUACGUAGGGUGCAAGCGUUGUCCGGAAUUACUGGGCGUAAAGAGUUCGUAGGCGGUUUGUCACGUCGUUUGUGAAAACUCACAGCUCAACUGUGAGCCUGCAGGCGAUACGGGCAGACUUGAGUACUGCAGGGGAGACUGGAAUUCCUGGUGUAGCGGUGAAAUGCGCAGAUAUCAGGAGGAACACCGGUGGCGAAGGCGGGUCUCUGGGCAGUAACUGACGCUGAGGAACGAAAGCGUGGGUAGCGAACAGGAUUAGAUACCCUGGUAGUCCACGCCGUAAACGGUGGGCGCUAGGUGUGGGUUCCU